rnacentral:rRNA from 1 species
CCUACGGGCGGCUGCAGUGAGGAAUAUUGCACAACGGGGGCAACCCAGGUGCAGCAACGCCGCGUGAGUGAAGAAGGCCUUCGGGUCGUAAAACUCUUUUCUGAGGGAUGAGGAAGGACAGUACCUCAGGAACAAGUCUCGGCUAACUACGUGCCAGCAGCCGCGGUAAGACGUAGGAGGCGAGCGUUAUCCGGAUUUACUGGGCGUAAAGGGCAAGUAGGCGGUAUGGCAAGUCAGUUGUGACAGAUCCCGGCUCAACUGGGAGAGGACGAAUGAGACUGCCAAACUAGAGGACAGGAGAGGGGAGCGGAAUUCCUUGUGUAGCGGUGGAAUGCUCAGAUACAAGGAGGAACACCAGUGGCGAAGGCGGCUCUCUGGCCUGAUCCUGACGCUGAAGAGCGAAAGCUAGGGUAGCAAACGGGCUUAGAUACCCCUGUAGUC